rnacentral:lncRNA from 1 species
AGUCGCACAGUUGCGCGGUGGCCGACAGGAAUUGUUCCCCAGUGGUAAGCCGCAAUCUAGCUGACGUGGCCCCAACCCCACAUUCCUUCCUGCCCUGCAAUGUCUGAAGAAACCCUACAGAGCAAAUUGGCGGCUGCAAAGAAAAAGCCAUGUCCUGGAACAUGUUGAACUGUCAAGACGUCGGAAUUUCAGUAGACAAUGAAUUCAGACAUCUGUGGAAUAGCCUUGGGCACACUGUGUUUAUGGGGAAAAAAGCAGAAGAGAAAAAUGUGUUAUAUAAAUUUAUGGGUGCAAAUAAAUAAAGCAAGUUCUUAGUGACUUAUGAA